GAUGAACGCUGGCGGCGUGCCUAAUACAUGCAAGUCGAGCGAACGGACGAGAAGCUUGCUUCUCUGAUUUUAGCGGCGGACGGGUGAGUAACACGUGGAUAACCUACCUAUAAGACUGGGAUAACUUCGGGAAACCGGAGCUAAUACCGGAUAAUAUUUUGAACCGCAUGGUUCAAAAGUGAAAGACGGUCUUGCUGUCACUUAUAGAUGGAUCCGCGCUGCAUUAGCUAGUUGGUAAGGUAACGGCUUACCAAGGCAACGAUGCAUAGCCGACCUGAGAGGGUGAUCGGCCACACUGGAACUGAGAGACGGUCCAGACUCAUACGGGAGGCAGCAGUAGGGAAGCUUCCGCAAUGGGCGAAAGCCUGACGGAGCAACGCCGCGUGAGUGAUGAAGGUCUUCGGAUCGUAAAACUCUGUUAUUAGGGAAGAACAUAUGUGUAAGUAACUGUGCACAGCUUGACGGUACCUAAUCAGAAAGCCACGGCUAACUACGUG
rnacentral:rRNA from 1 species